GCCUAACACAUGCAAGUCGAACGGUAACAGGAAGCAGCUUGCUGCUUGCUGACGAGUGGCGGACGGGUGAGUAAUGUCUGGGAAACUGCCUGAUGGAGGGGGAUAACUACUGGAAACGGUAGCUAAUACCGCAUAACGUCGCAAGACCAAAGAGGGGGACCUUCGGGCCUCUUGCCAUCAGAUGUGCCCAGAUGGGAUUAGCUAGUAGGUGGGGUAACGGCUCACCUAGGCGACGAUCCCUAGCUGGUCUGAGAGGAUGACCAGCCACACUGGAACUGAGACACGGUCCAGACUCCUACGGGAGGCAGCAGUGGGGAAUAUUGCACAAUGGGCGCAAGCCUGAUGCAGCCAUGCCGCGUGUAUGAAGAAGGCCUUCGGGUUGUAAAGUACUUUCAGCGGGGAGGAAGGCGAUGGGUUAAUAACCGCGUCGAUUGACGUUACCCGCAGAAGAAGCACCGGCUAACUCCGUGCCAGCAGCCGCGGUAAUACGGAGGGUGCAAGCGUUAAUCGGAAUUACUGGGCGUAAAGCGCACGCAGGCGGUCUGUCAAGUCGGAUGUGAAAUCCCCGGGCUCAACCUGGGAACUGCAUCCGAAACUGGCAGGCUUGAGUCUCGUAGAGGGGGGUAGAAUUCCAGGUGUAGCGGUGAAAUGCGUAGAGAUCUGGAGGAAUACCGGUGGCGAAGGCGGCCCCCUGGACGAAGACUGACGCUCAGGUGCG
rnacentral:rRNA from 1 species